GAUCCCGACCUUGUCGCGCAGCUCCUGGAACCGGACACGACCAAGUGACUUGGUCAGGAUGUCCGCCUUCUGCUCACCAGUCCUGAUGAACUCCACGAUCACCGUGCCUUUCUCGACGCAGUCACGUAUGAAGUGAUAGCGGAGAUCGAUGUGCUUGCUGCGGUCAUGAAGUACUGGAUUCUUGCAGAGGGAAAUCGCCGACUUGUUGUCGACGAAGAUGAGCGCAGGGGCGGUGUCCUGAUUC
rnacentral:rRNA from 1 species